UACGUAGGGUGCAAGCGUUGUCCGGAAUUAUUGGGCGUAAAGAGCUCGUAGGCGGUUUGUCGCGUCGGGAGUGAAAACGCCGUGCUUAACACGGCGCUUGCUUUCGAUACGGGCAGACUAGAGGUAUUCAGGGGAGAACGGAAUUCCUGGUGUAGCGGUGAAAUGCGCAGAUAUCAGGAGGAACACCGGUGGCGAAGGCGGUUCUCUGGGAAUGACCUGACGCUGAGGAGCGAAAGUGUGGGGAGCGAACAGG
rnacentral:rRNA from 1 species